rnacentral:rRNA from 1 species
CUUGCUCCUUUGACGUUAGCGGCGGACGGGUGAGUAACACGUGGGCAACCUACCUUAUAGUUUGGGAUAACUCCGGGAAACCGGGGCUAAUACCGAAUAAUCUAUUUCACUUCAUGGUGAAAUACUGAAAGACGGUCUCGGCUGUCGCUAUAAGAUGGGCCCGCGGCGCAUUAGCUAGUUGGUGAGGUAACGGCUCACCAAGGCGACGAUGCGUAGCCGACCUGAGAGGGUGAUCGGCCACACUGGGACUGAGACACGGCCCAGACUCCUACGGGAGGCAGCAGUAGGGAAUCUUCCACAAUGGGCGAAAGCCUGAUGGAGCAACGCCGCGUGAGUGAAGAAGGUUUUCGGAUCGUAAAACUCUGUUGUAAGGGAAGAACAAGUACAGUAGUAACUGGCUGUACCUUGACGGUACCUUAUUAGAAAGCCACGGCUAACUACGUGCCAGCAGCCGCGGUAAUACGUAGGUGGCAAGCGUUGUCCGGAAUUAUUGGGCGUAAAGCGCGCGCAGGCGGUCCUUUAAGUCUGAUGUGAAAGCCCACGGCUCAACCGUGGAGGGUCAUUGGAAACUGGGGGACUUGAGUGCAGAAGAGGAAAGUGGAAUUCCAAGUGUAGCGGUGAAAUGCGUAGAGAUUUGGAGGAACACCAGUGGCGAAAGCGACUUUCUGGUCUGUAA